rnacentral:rRNA from 1 species
GUGAUCCGGUGGUUCUGAAUGGAAGGGCCAUCGCUCAACGGAUAAAAGGUACUCCGGGGAUAACAGGCUGAUACCGCCCAAGAGUUCAUAUCGACGGCGGUGUUUGGCACCUCGAUGUCGGCUCAUCACAUCCUGGGGCUGAAGUAGGUCCCAAGGGUAUGGCUGUUCGCCAUUUAAAGUGGUACGCGAGCUGGGUUUAGAACGUCGUGAGACAGUUCGGUCCCUAUCUGCCGUGGGCGCUGGAGAACUGAGGGGGGCUGCUCCUAGUACGAGAGGACCGGAGUGGACGCAUCACUGGUGUUCGGGUUGUCAUGCCAAUGGCACUGCCCGGUAGCUAAAUGCGGAAGAGAUAAGUGCUGAAAGCAUCUAAGCACGAAACUUGCCCCGAGAUGAGUUCUCCCUGAGACUUUAGAUCUCCUGAAGGAACGUUGAAGACGACGACGUUGAUAGGCCGGGUGUGUAAGCGCAGCGAUGCGUUGAGCUAACCGGUACUAAUGAACCGUGAGGCUUAACCUU